UUCUAAGGUAAAAGUUGUGAAAAUUUUAUAUGCUCUGCAACUCACUAUUGCAUCUUUGCAUCACUACCAUAUUUCUUCUCCAAAACUGUGAACACUUCUCCAUUUCCUUCAUUCUUCUUCAUUGUUUAGCACCCUCAUAAGUUCAUUCAAAGUGAUGCAAUUAGGGGAUUCAACAUUUUUACUUGGCCUGUGCAUACCACUUUUUCCUCCCACUACAAACCCUUAAAUAGGGUAUUCUCUCUCGUUUUGCUUACUCAUUGUCUUCCUUUAAGAUAAAGACAGAAAAGCUGGUACUAGGCAGCAUUAAGCAUUGACCAUCUCUUCAACCACAAUAUACAAGAAAGCAGACAAUGUGUAACCAAAGUUUGAAGUUGUUGUUACAUUCUAAUUAAAUAAAAAUUAUAAUGUGAAAUUGAAUAAAUAAACUUCACCAAAAAGUUAAAUAAUAAUAAGAUAUAGUAAGUUUUUAUAAAA
rnacentral:sRNA from 1 species